GGGGGCAGGAGCAGGGAAGGAUGGAAAGCUUCAAACCUCCAACUGAAGGGUGCCCACUGCAGAAACACUUCUAUCACCAUGAGGCCUCUGGACCAUUCUGGGUACAGCUUGCUCUCUGAAUAGGCAUCUCGUUUGAUAACAUUCGCAAAUAUUUAUUGGAGAUACUUUUCUCCUGUUUGCCAGCCCUGGACAGGAGCCUUGCACAGUCAUUGCCAAAAUAAGUGCCAGGUUCAUUAUGUCUGAAAACUGAGGAAAGUCAGAGCUCACAAUGGCCUUUGCCCAAACCAAGGUUGUUUGAAAGUCAUUACCUGGCAUCCUCCUAGAGCAGAGGGCCUUGAGAAAGAUAUGGCACCAAGGAGAUAUUUCCCAGACAAGGAGAAGGAUAGGGCUAAAUCUGAAUAUGUUGUUUCAUCCUGAGUUUGGGGAGACUUAUUAAAACCAGUCAUCAGACCAAUGGUCUCUACAGAAAGGCUGGGAUUAUCCCAGGGAGUGGCAGGGUACCACCACACAGAGGUACAAAUCAUCUGUCAGUGGAACAAGGCAGCCCUGGGGCAGGGCCUGGCACCAGGGAUUAGGGAGUGUUUCUUCAUUUGAGGAAACUUUCCAAACUGCACUGUUCCACAGUUUGAACAAAGUGGCUUAAUAUCAAACAUUGAUCUAAAAUGGAGUAUGGGCGUGAAACUGCCAAUGUCCCUCUUUGAAAGAUCAAAACAAAGGUAUAUUCCCACAAAAGGGAGUGGUGGAGAGAGAUUAGGAGACAGUGAUAAGCCAAGGUUGGGGCAUGUGAUACCAGGAAAACCAUGGGUUGGGUCAGGGUAUCGGGGCUGGCUCAGGCAAAGCUGAUGUGGCAAGAUCUGGCUGUGCCCUAUAAAUCCAGCCCCAGCCUCAGCAUUGUAUAUUGACCCUGCCUGAAGGACUGAGUACCCUGUUGCAAAGAAGAAGCCAUGAAGGAAGAGAUCUGUGUUGCAUUCCUGGCUGUUUGUCUCCUUGUGCUUGGAGGCACUAAGGCAGCUCCCCUGGACUCUAACAGCUUUAAUGGGAACAGUGCUGGGGAUGGCAGCUUCAACAACAAUGGGAAUGGCUUCGAGCCCCCAGUCAUCUAUGAUCCUGUGGGUGAUGCAGGGAACCAUGGCAGCUUCGACUGGAAUAGGGUUGGUGACCGCAGCUUCAAUGACAAUGGGGAUCCUGUGGGUGAUGCAGGGAACCAUGGCAGCUUCGACUGGAAUAGGGUUGGUGACCGCAGCUUCAAUGACAAUGGGGUAAGAAUUGAGGUCCUCCCUGGGAUAACUAAGGAGGGAUUUGGGGGAGGUAACCCACAAUGUAUUCAGUUUCUCCUUUGCUUAGGGUAA
ensembl:lncRNA